UCCGCCUAUAUCAAAUGUCUACGUGUUUGCUGCGGCCGCCCUCCGCUCUCUACGCGCUCGUUGGCUCACAUGUUUGAAUUAAUAACUCGAUUAAACAAUUGGUUCGAGUUGUAUGCGAGGAUUUAAAAACAUCGUGUAUAAGACUAAUAAGACAAAUCUUCAGCAAUGAAUUAGCCAUGGAAUACAGCUGGUAUGGAAUGAAAAAGAAAAAUGUCUUCAGCAACUUACAAUUGUGUAAAGUAAUUAUAUGUGUGAUAAGAAAGUCGCAUACAACUGCAACAGACGAACAAAUUUCUGCUCCCAUCAAGAUCUGG